CUCUCAUCCCGGCCGCGAAUGCCGAUUUACUGCUUAAGACGCACUACUGCUGCAGAAUGAUUCGAACGGCUAAGCGCUAUACUAUUCACAUGUUCAUCAAAUACUGUUCUUUGGUUUGCGUAAUAACUGUUGCAGUUUCUCUCAGCUUCGUCGCAGCAGUAUCGGAUGAAAGUGAAGAUGUCGCGAUUACUGAAGGAAAGUCAAAAAUUGAACAAGUUGUGCUUGAAGUAUUUAUCUAUGUUGUACUUCUUAUGCUGAAGGCAAACCGGAUAUAUUUUGCAAUUUCGUUGCUUACUGAUAAACCUACUUCAGUGAUAAUUUGUCAGCUGAAAUUUUUGUGUGGUCACUACUGACUAUAUCCUAGAUCUGCCGAUGCCGACUACUGCAGUGACACUGCAUUUUUUCCCUAACGAAUCUAGAACUGAGAACAGUAAACAAAACGUCAUAUUGUGUGCUUUGUAUAAUUACAAGUAAGAAAAUAAUCAGCAUGAGACUUGAUAACUUCAUUAAACGUUAUUUUUAGACCUUUUUAACAUGCCUGUCAACAUUCCGGAAGUCAACGAAACUGCAAAGAUUGGUCAUAGGCUGUGGCCAAACCGUACUGCCAUCCCUUUUCUUAUAGACUCAGUUUUCAACGAAUCCGAACGCGAAAUCAUUAUGAAGGCGUUGCGCAUAAUGGAAAGAAAGACCAAAGGAUGUAUCCAGUUUAAAGAAGUUACAGAUGAGGAUGCUCACAUCUUCUUUUCAGACAGCACCACAGGAAAGUGCAGAAACUGGAUGAUUGACCGAACAACCCGUUACCCUUAUGAUACGAGUAUAUUGUAUGUAAUUGACCUGGGAAAGCCUAACCAUACACGGUCCGAAUACUGUUUCGGAUUAGGCAUAAUCCAGUAUCGGGUUAUGCUUGCUCUGGGAUUCAGCGGUGAGCAGCAACGCAGCGACCGCGACAAGUAUGUCGACGUCCAUGUAAGGGACAUCGACUACAGUCCGUAUGCCGACGAUAUUCCUUGGCAGAUCAAUCCAAGCAUGUACACUUUUGGGACCAAGUAUGACUAUCAUUCUAUUCUACACCUCGAUGCCUUCAUGGCUUCCCCCGCCGCCAAUGCAUCUACGGCUCCUUCUAUCGUCCCCAAGGAAGGACUUAUUGUUCGCAUGGGGCAGCAGGCCCGUCUGAGUCCCACGGAUGUGGCCAAAAUACUGAUAGCCUUUAAAUGUCCAUUAACCAUUUUACCCGGGAAGGAAGAAGGCCCUGAAAACGAUUUUCCGAAUUUUUCGCUUGAACCAAUGACGGACGACGAUUGUUCUGCACAGUUUAAUCGCUAUUGCAAGCCAGAUGUUAGCAUAAUCACGAACUGCACAAAGCCAAAAUUUCGAGAUUAAAGUGUCGUCUGUCAGUCGAAUGCAUCGGUUGCGGUGCUGGAGCAAAUGGCGCUGGCGAUGGCCGAACAGCCAUUACGACCAGUAACCAUCGAUGUACACGAACAACUACUCUCCAAGUAUUCUUUCAAGCCGGUAAAGCGCCAAGUUGUGGAACUCUGUAUGGAGAGUUGUAUCAGCGACCGUGUGACUCUGAAAUUACAAAAUCUCAACUUUACAAAUCUGCUGUACUUUGAACUGAACAACUGUUAUAACAUGGUCAUCGAUAAAUCGGAUUUCACCACUUCAGUGCGGCUGAGAAUUAUAAUGUUUUACAACAGUACGAUUGCAGCCAUGCAGCCUGGCACCUUUAUUAAUUUACCCCAUCUUCAAAUUGUCUCAUUAGAAGCCCUGCCAGAAACCGAAAGGUUCUACCCUUUCGAGCCGGUAUUCCAGAAGUUUCUACAGAAGCUUCAUUGCGCGUGCGAAUUCGCCUGGUAUCGAUCCUGGUGGACAAACAAUAAGAAUCUGCGGCUUCGCGUUGAUAGAGGCGAGCUUUAUUCUUUUGGUGGGCCAUACAAUGAUUCAUAUUUAGAAAGUGGGGAUUACAAGAAAGAAGAAUUGUACUAUCCGGUGGACUGCCAUGUUGACCCCUUUCCUCGCAGUGUCGAAUGGAUGGACUAUCACGCUCAGACCGCAUACUCCGUAAAUGAACCAGAAUGUCCGGAAACGUAUGCUGCUAACGCAGCUGUAAAAGUAGCAACAGAGGCUCCUACUGGUAAGGUUCGUUCGAAUUCUACAAGUAAAGCCAAGAGAUUUGCCCUGACAACCAAGAAAAUUACCGGAUACACUGUCAAGCAUUCCCAUUAGUACCAGCUAGACAUCGAGUACUGUCAAAGCACCACACAGUCCGCUCCCCCGGAAAUGGAUCAUUCUCUCCAAUCAGUCGAUAAAUUCGUAAAAGUGCAUAAGUUAUACUGUGAGGUGCAGAUACAUCUGGAAAUAUGCAAGUACAGUUAUAUUAGUAGCAAAGAGAUUAAGAGUUUGUGUCAGUUUAGCACUCUAGUAUUUGUUGGAAAAUUUUCCCUUUGCCAAAACAAUAAUAAUACUG